UAAGAAACACUUAAUGUCAACAAGAUUUUCUGAUUGACAAGAGAAAAGGUUAAACAGGAACUUCAAUUGUGAACAUUGCAGAGAACACACCCAUCAGAAGAUGACCCUCAGAAAUAGGACAAUUGAUGAAUAAAAUGGACAGAGGCAGAACUGAAGGAGAUGCAUGAAAUGAGGAAUAUUUCAAAGAUUGCCUGAGCAUAACCACUGCUACUGGAUAAACAUAUGGCAAUAUAAAAGAGCAGGGUCAAUGGAGGUAUCAUACAGUAUAGGCCAUGAGAGACCCUGAAGAAGAAAGUAUUGAACAGAAACAAAAAUAAAACCAUUUUGACAUUUAUUGAAAUAUAGGAUCAAAGUCUUACAUGUAAAAUUUGGGCAUGUAAUGACUUUUCUCUAGCUCUUAGACUUAUAACAGUGAUGAUUUGAUUGAAUAUCUUUAUCCCGAUUUGUCGAAAAGAUUUGGACAUAGUGCAUCAAUUAUUUUAAAGUUUUGAUACAACGAAUUCAUUCAUUGUACUUGUAACUAAGUUUUCUGGUGCGACACUGUUUUAUCGGCUUCAAAACUAAGUUUGUGAUUUCCAAACCAGA